rnacentral:rRNA from 1 species
AGCUUGCUCUUUCCGGAUGAGUUGCGAACGGGUGAGUAACGCGUAGGUAACCUGCCUGGUAGCGGGGGAUAACUAUUGGAAACGAUAGCUAAUACCGCAUAACAGUAGAUGUUGCAUGACGUUUACUUGAAAGGUGCAAAUGCACCACUACCAGAUGGACCUGCGUUGUAUUAGCUAGUUGGUGAGGUAACGGCUCACCAAGGCGACGAUACAUAGCCGACCUGAGAGGGUGAUCGGCCACACUGGGACUGAGACACGGCCCAGACUCCUACGGGAGGCAGCAGUAGGGAAUCUUCGGCAAUGGACGGAAGUCUGACCGAGCAACGCCGCGUGAGUGAAGAAGGUUUUCGGAUCGUAAAGCUCUGUUGUAAGAGAAGAACGAGUGUGAGAGUGGAAAGUUCACACUGUGACGGUAUCUUACCAGAAAGGGACGGCUAACUACGUGCCAGCAGCCGCGGUAAUACGUAGGUCCCGAGCGUUAUCCGGAUUUAUUGGGCGUAAAGCGAGCGCAGGCGGUUAGAUAAGUCUGAAGUUAAAGGCUGUGGCUUAACCAUAGUACGCUUUGGAAACUGUUUAACUUGAGUGCAGAAGGGGAGAGUGGAAUUCCAUGUGUAGCGGUGAAAUGCGUAGAUAUAUGGAGGAACACCGGUGGCGAAAGCGGCUC